rnacentral:rRNA from 1 species
CCUACGGGGGGCUGCAGUGGGGAAUAUUGGACAAUGGGGGCAACCCUGAUCCAGCCAUGCCGCGUGUGUGAAGAAGGCCCUCGGGUUGUAAAGCACUUUCAGUGAGGAAGAACGCCUGGUGGUUAAUACCCAUCAGGAAAGACAUCACUCACAGAAGAAGCACCGGCUAACUCCGUGCCAGCAGCCGCGGUAAUACGGAGGGUGCGAGCGUUAAUCGGAAUUACUGGGCGUAAAGCGCGCGUAGGUGGCUUGAUAAGCCGGUUGUGAAAGCCCCGGGCUCAACCUGGGAACGGCAUCCGGAACUGUCAAGCUAGAGUGCAGGAGAGGAAGGUAGAAUUCCCGGUGUAGCGGUGAAAUGCGUAGAGAUCGGGAGGAAUACCAGUGGCGAAGGCGGCCUUCUGGACUGACAAUGACACUGAGGUGCGAAAGCGUGGGUAGCAAACAGGAUUAGAUACCCGAGUAGUC